CUUUCCUUAGUGGCGGACGGGUGAGGAACACGUAAGAACCUACCCUUAGGAGGGGACAACAGCUGGAAACGGCUGCUAAUACCCCAUAAGCUGAGGAGUGAAAGGAGGAAACUCCGCCUAAGGAUGGGCUUGCGUCUGAUUAGCUUGUUGGUGGGGUAAAAGCUUACCAAGGCGACGAUCAGUAGCUGGUCUGAGAGGAUGAUCAGCCACACUGGGACUGAGGCACGGCCCAG
rnacentral:rRNA from 1 species